GGAAUUUUUCCGCAAUGGGCGAAAGCCUGACGGAGCAAUACCGCGUGAGGGAGGAAGGCUCUUGGGUUGUAAACCUCUUUUCUCAGGGAAGAAAAAAAUGACGGUACCUGAGGAAUAAGCAUCGGCUAACUCCGUGCCAGCAGCCGCGGUAAUACGGAGGAUGCAAGCGUUAUCCGGAAUGAUUGGGCGUAAAGCGUCCGCAGGUGGCGAUGAAAGUCUGCUGUUAAAGAGUGAGGCUCAACCUCAUAAAAGCAGUGGAAACUACAUAGCUAGAGUACGUUCGGGGCAGAGGGAAUUCCUGGUGUAGCGGUGAAAUGCGUAGAGAUCAGGAAGAACACCGGUGGCGAAAGCGCUCUGCUAGGCCUGUACUGA
rnacentral:rRNA from 1 species